UGUAGUCAUAUGCUUGUCUCAAAGAUUAAGCCAUGCAUGUCUAAGAAUAACCCCAGUAAGGGGAAGUCUGCGAAUGGCUCAUUAAAUCAGUUAUAGUUUAUUUGGAUGUGGGUUUGCUACACGGAUAACUGUGGCAAUUCUAGAGCUAAUACGUGCUAAGUCCCCAACUUCGCGGAAGGGGUGUAUGUGUUAGGGUGUCAACUGGCUUGCUUGUUGAUUCAUAACAACCUGUACUGACCGCAUAGCCUCGCGCUGGCGGCGUCGCAUUCAAAUUUCUGAUCUAUCAACUUGAAGGUAGGAUAGAGGCCUACCUUGGUUGCAACGGGUAACGGGGAAUA
rnacentral:rRNA from 1 species